UUACUUACCUGGAAGGGGAGACACCAUUAUCAUGAAGGUGGUUUUCCCAGGGUGAGGCUCAUCUGUUGAACUCCAGGGGUGCUAUCUCCUGGGAUUUCCCAAAAUGCAGGAAAUUCAACUGCAUAUUGUGUAGUAAUGGGGGACAGCAUUCACACUUUCAUUUU